UAAGUUAUGACACCUAUGGUCCGAUUUCCAUAAAAUAUACAUUUUUCGUUUAGGAAUGAUAGGCUUUUGGGUCGACUUGGCCACACCCAUUUUCUAAAUGAUCCAGCUAUAGCUAUCCAAAAGCCAAAGUUAUUUAUUUU